GAUAUGUCAGCUUACAGAAGUUCCUCCCCAUACUCCACCUUAUGAAACUGGAGAUGGAUUACAGUAACAGCAAACUGGAAUGAAAUUUUUCUGCUGGCUUUGAAGAAGUAAGCUGCCAUGUUGUAAGAAGGCCAUGUGACUGGACCCGAGAGUGGCCUCUAGGUCCUGAGAAUGACCCCCAUCUAAUGGAGGACCUUAGCCCUAAACCACAAGUCUGUGAAUUCUACCAACAACCUGAUGAGCUUGGAAGAGAACCCCAUACCUUGGAUGAGAUCAUAGCCCAGCUGACACUUUGAUCAUUGCUGAAAGAUUUGGCCUUCUACAAUUGUGGAAACCAGUUAAACCGGUUAUGCAGGCUGCUGUCUCAGGCCCUGCAAACUCCAGCAUCACACUGAGACGUUUUAUGUCUGGAGUUUUAUGUCCAGUGAGAAAGGGAAAAAUGGAUGUAAAGAAGUUGGAGCACAAGGGAAGCAAGAUGGCUGGAACAUGAGCACAAGCUGCAGACCAUGAUGAUGGCCUGAAACCUGAAUUAGUUGAUAGCGUGUGUGUCCUGCGGAAGUCAGAACCCUUCACCCCUGCCCAAGCGUCAGAGAAACUGAAAAGGGAACCAGGGAGAAGUUGUAGACCUGGCCACCACACAGCAGUGAGGAAAGC